UACAAAGGAAUUGACGGGGCCCGGCACAAGCGGAGGAACAUGUGGUUUAAUUCGAUGAUACGCGAAGAACCUUACCAGGCCUUGACAUACUCGGCAAAGCUCUAGAGAUAGAGUGGAGGUUAUCCGGGAUACAGGUGGUGCAUGGUUGUCGUCAGCUCGUGUCGUGAGAUGUUGGGUUAAGUCCCGCAACGAGCGCAACCCUUGUCUUUAGUUACCAUCAUUCAGUUGGGGACUCUAGAGAGACUGCCGGUGAUAAACCGGAGGAAGUGGGGAUGACGUCAAAUCAUCAUGCCCCUUAUGGCCUGGGCUACAAACGUAAUACAAUGGCGUAUACAAAGGGAUGCGAAAGGGCGACCUGGAGCAAAACUCACAAAGUACGUCUCAGUUCAGAUUGGAGUCUGCAACUCGACUCCAUGAAGGCGGAAUCGCUAGUAAUCGCGGAUCAGCAUGCCGCGGUGAAUACGUUCUCGGGGUUU
rnacentral:rRNA from 1 species